GAGGGUAUAGCUCAGUGGUAGAGCGCAUGCUUAGCAUGUAUGAGGUUCUGGGUUGAAUUCCUAGCACCUGCA
rnacentral:tRNA from 1 species